AGCUCCAUAAACUUGCUGAUCUUGUAAAUUAUGUUUGAUCCAAUCCAGAAGACGUGGCCACUGCUCUGGGUAGUCAGCAUGGAUAAUUGUCUUGAGGCACUCGCCCAACUGUACCCUUAAUAAAGGAGGAACCUGCACAAGAAAAACAAGGAUGUGAUCCCUCACCAUAUCCUUAUCACUUUGGGAUAUCUUUGAUUGCUCAUCAGGUUCAUGAGGUGCCCAGUUCUUUGCAAUGAAGUUCUUGAAAUGAAUACUAGCA
rnacentral:misc_RNA from 1 species